rnacentral:rRNA from 1 species
UACAGAGGUCUCAAGCGUUGUUCGGAUUCAUUGGGCGUAAAGGGUGUGUAGGUGGCGCGCUAAGUCGGGUGUGAAAUCUCUGGGCUCAACCCAGAGUCUGCUUCCGAAACUGCUGUGCUUGAGUGUGGGAGAGGCGCGUGGAAUUGCAGGUGUAGCGGUGAAAUGCGUAGAUAUCUGCAGGAACACCCGUGGCGAAAGCGGCGCGCUGGACCACUACUGACGCUGAGGAACGAAAGCUAGGGGAGCAAACAGG